AACCAUUCUCACCUGCGGCUAGACCUGCGGAAGGAUCAUUACAGAGUUCGUGCCCUCGCGGGUAGAUCUCCCACCCUUGUGUAUUCUCUACAUCUUGUUGCUUUGGCAGGCCGUUGGUUCGCCAACCACCGGCUCGCGGGCUGGUGCGUGCCUGCCAGAGGACCUCUCAAACUCGGUUUGUCAGUGUCGUCUGAGUACCAUAACAAUCGUUAAAACUUUUAACAACGGAUCUCAGAUCGG
rnacentral:misc_RNA from 1 species